GUCUCUUAGGAGACAUCAGAUAAAAUUGGAAUAAUUGAGAUCAGAUUAGCAUAGCCCCUGCGAAAGAAUGACAUGACAAAUAGAAAAAUGUGAGAAAUGGCC
rnacentral:snRNA from 1 species